CCCUUAGAUGUUCUGGGCCGCACGCGCGCUACACUGAUUCAUGCAACAAGUUUUGUCCUUGGCUGAUAGGCCUGGGUAAUCUUUGAACGUGAAUCGUGAUGGGGAUAGAUGAUUGCAAUUAUUCAUCUUCAACGAGGAAUUCCUAGUAAACGCAAGUCAUCAGCUUGCAUUGAUUACGUCCCUGCCCUUUGUACACACCGCCCGUCGCGCCUACCGAUUGAAUGGUCCGGUGAAAUCUUCGGAUCUGAGAGAUGUCUGAUUAAUUUCGGACGCCUUUUGGAAAAGUUGUUUAAACCUUACCAUUUAGAGGAAGGUGAAGUCGUAACA
rnacentral:rRNA from 1 species